rnacentral:rRNA from 2 species
UCCGGGGGUAGAGCACUGUUUCGGCUAGGGGGCCAUCCCGGCUUACCAACCCGAUGCAAACUGCGAAUACCGGAGAAUGUUAUCACGGGAGACACACGGCGGGUGCUAACGUCCGUCGUGAAGAGGGAAACAACCCAGACCGCCAGCUAAGGUCCCAAAGUCAUGGUUAAGUGGGAAACGAUGUGGGAAGGCCCAGACAGCCAGGAUGUUGGCUUAGAAGCAGCCAUCAUUUAAAGAAAGCGUAAUAGCUCACUGGUCGAGUCGGCCUGCGCGGAAGAUGUAACGGGGCUAAACCAUGCACCGAAGCUGCGGCAGCGACACUGUGUGUUGUUGGGUAGGGGAGCGUUCUGUAAGCCUGUGAAGGUGUGUCGUGAGGCAUGCUGGAGGUAUCAGAAGUGCGAAUGCUGACAUAAG